rnacentral:lncRNA from 1 species
AAAAUACUUUAUGCAAAUUACCAACUUCACUGGGCAGGGUUUACCACCAUGUAAGUUCUCAAAUAUUAUUUUAUUCAAAGAUAUUUAAAGCAUAUUUAAUUUAAUUAUACCUAUUUUAAACUAUAGAAAAAAUUACUUAAAAUUUUUGCCAUUAAAAUAAUUACAAAAUUUAGACUUUUAUUCAAGGACUAGAUUACUUAGGACAAAAAUCUUUCCUAUUUAAAAUUCAUACCUUGUAAAUUUUAAUUUGUAUAUUCAUGAAUAACUCUGGACAUUUAUACUUUUUUGUUUCCUCCUUAUUAUAAAUCGUUCAGAAUUACUAGGUAUUGGUUUUAAGAGUUCUACAUUGUAAUUGAAAGAAAAAAUUACUUGAGAGAAUAAUUGUUUCAGAAUGGUGCCUGUUAUUGCUGUGUCAGUGAAAGAUUUGUCCAGAGUUUUAGAUACAAACCAGUAUUUUGUGGAGUUUUCUUCAGCCACUAAUAGUCCAUCCUGGCUGAAACUGAAUAUAUCAGAUUUAACAUAGGUGCAGAAUUCUGACUAACACUGUGAAAUGUGAUCUCCACUGCCCUGCAGGACUUUCUGAAACUGUUACACUGCCCAGUGUGCAUUUAAUGAACGGCUGAUCGUUUCCAUACUUAUCUGAGAUGCUGAAAGUUCUGCUUUCCACAGCUCUUCCUUGCAAAAGUGGGUUUGUAUCAGUGCACCUGAGGGGAAAGAUUUGCAUUUAAAAAAAGAAAUUCCACUCUGAAAUUUGGAUUUGAAAGAUUGGAAUGUAGAGAGGGUGUCUACAGUGUUUUUCUGCAGCACCAGGUAGUCAGAUCUAUUCAUAGUAACUCUCAUCGCAGAGUAAAAUUUAAAAUGAAAUUUUCCACGUUGGUAUUUUGUAGGAAUGCUCUUAUAAUCCAGGACUAAGCUGCUUUUUGAGGCUCUUGUUGUACAGAGGAUGUAGCCAAUUACAUUUUAAUUGGUGGGCUGUUUAAUAAUGUUUUUAUAUGUUUUAAAAUAUUUAUUUUAAUAAGUUUUUAACAUUAUGCAAACCCCUGUAAAGAACUGACAAGCUCUAUAGGUCAUUGAUCUGAAACGGAGUCUAAAGACACAUUUUUAUGCUGACUAAUUUGUUUUGCCUUUAAAACUGCUUAUAACUACAGUCAUGCGCCACAUAACGACGUUUCAUCAAGGGCAGACCACAUGUACGACCGUGGUUCCAUAAGAUUAGUGCCAUACAGCCUAGGUGUGUAGGAGGCUAUACCUAGGUUUGUGUAAGUACACUCGAUGGUGUUCCCACAAUGACAAAAUCGCCUAAUAAUGUACCUCUUGGAAUGUAUCUCCAUCGUUAAGCAACUGUUUGCUGUUUCUUCUAGUGUACAUUUUAUAAAGCAAAAAAACAAAACAAACCCCCAAGACUAUAUGUUCUAUAAAUAAUAGGAUAAAGAUCCACGUAAACCAGUCUAAAGCUUUCUCAGUGAUGCAUAGCCGUCUGUCCAGUCAUGUUUUUAUCAAAUUUUGCUACUAUAAAAAGAAAUGGAAAUAGAAUGAAAAACCCAAAGUUACAGAGCAACAUCAGUAGAAUGACUGACUAACCGUUUUCUUAAUAACGUGUUUGAAAUGGAAAAAGUGACCAACUGCCUUUUACUGGAGUCGUGAAUGGCUGUAUCCUGCCCAGUCUCUAUUUUGGGAAAACUUCUUUGAGAAAUUGGUUUGUUAAUGUUCCUUUUAAUCCUUUCCUGCUAAAGGACAAACACGUGUAAAGAGUUUGACAGACUUUUAAAAUAUGCCUCUUUCCCAAUUUUAAGUGUUUUUGGUUCUGUGUAUAUGAAUUCGUCAGUGAAGUUCAUUUGCUCCUGAGUUUCUAUCACAAGGAGAGAAGAAACAAACAUCCAACACAAAUGUGUUCCAAACAGUCGUCUCCAUCUUCCGGCACCCGUAUGCGACUGCCUCGCCAAACAAGAAGAUGCACUACAUAGAGCAAUAAGAGUGAAAGUAAGACUAAUUCAGAUGAAGCAAGAAAAACCCUUCUGCAUACAGAGUGGAAGUGUGUGAUUUCAUUCCUGCCUUCCUUUCGAAGUUCUCUCUCGAUCUCUGCCUAGGAGUGGUUGAGCAUCGUUACCCAAAUGUGAGGAGGGUCCCUCAUUUGCCUUCCCUGGGUGAGAAUAGAAUGUGGUGUUCUGUGCUUUUUGUUUUUAUUAUUCCAAAAUAUUUUUUUAAAGAAGUGUUAUUUUUCAACAGAUCCAUAAAUUAGUUCUUGUUGUAUGGUGAAUUUAAACUACCACUGUGUCAGUUACACUGUGAUGUGAUAAUUUCAUAACCACUCAUUUCUAGUGUCUGUCCUCAGAGCUGCACUAGUGGCUUAUUGCUGGGUUUUAAAGAUGUUUUUAACUUACAUAUAAAU